rnacentral:rRNA from 1 species
CAUUAACGCGCCGUGAAGGUCAUCCUUUUAAAUGGGGUAUGACUUUUCACCCGGCCCACCCUUGUUUACCUGUAACCUGUUGCUUUGGUGGGCCCGCCGCAAGGCCGCCGGGAAAUUUGAAGUUUCCGGGCCCGUGCCCACCAAAGUCUUAGCGAACUCUGAGUUAUUUUUUGGCUGUCUGAAUAUCAAAAGAAUAAUUACUUAAAACUUUCAACAACGGAUCUCUUGGUUCUGGCAUCGAUGAAGAACGCAGCGAAAUGCGAUAAGUAAUGUGAAUUGCAGAAUUCCGUGAAUCAUCGAAUCUUUGAACGCAUAUUGCCCCCUCUGGUAUUCCGGAGGGGAUGCCUGUCCGAGCGUCAUUAGCAUCCUUCAAGCACGGCUUGUGUUAAGCUAUUUGUUCUGUUAUGAACAGGCUUAAAAUGCAGUGGCGAUGCCGAGUCUGGUGCCCCAGCAUUAUGGAGCUUUGUCACAUGCUCUGGUGGCCCAGCCGGUAUUCUGCCUUUUUUUUUUAAACGAACAUUGACCUCGGAUCAGGUAAGAAUACCC